rnacentral:rRNA from 1 species
UACGUAGGGUCCGAGCGUUGUCCGGAAUUACUGGGCGUAAAGAGCUCGUAGGUGGUUUGUCGCGUUGUUCGUGAAAACUCACAGCUUAACUGUGGGCGUGCGGGCGAUACGGGCAGACUUGAGUACUGCAGGGGAGGACUGGAAUUCCUGGUGUAGCGGUGGAAUGCGCAGACUAUCAGGAGGAACACCGGUGGCGAAGGCGGGUCUC